AUUGAACGCUGGCGGCAGGCCUAACACAUGCAAGUCGAGCGGAUGAAGGGAGCUUGUUCCUGGAUUCAGCGGCGGACGGGUGAGUAAUGCCUAUGAAUCUGCCUGGUAGUGGGUGAUAACGUCUGGAAACGGGCGCUAAUACUGCAUACGUCCUGAGGGAGAAAGUGGGGGAUCCUUGGACCGUACGCUAUCAGAUGAGCCGAGGCCGGAUUAGCUAGCUGGUGGGGUAAGAGCUGACCAAGGAGACGAUCCGUAACUGGUCUGAGAGGAUGAUCAGUCACACAGGAACUGAGACACGGUCCAGACUCCUACGGGAGGCAGCAGUGGGGAAGAUUGGACGAUGGGCGAAAGCUUGAUCCAGCCAUGCCGCGUGUGUGAAGAAGGUCUUCGGAUUGGAAAGCGCUUUAAGUUGGGAGGAAGGGCAGUAAGUUAAUACCUGGCUGUUUUGACGUUACCAACAGAAUAAGCACCGGCUAACUUCGU
rnacentral:rRNA from 1 species